GACAGAGGGUGCAAGCGUUGUUCGGAAUUACUGGGCGUAAAGCGCGUGUAGGCGGCUCGGCAAGUCGGGCGUGAAAGCCCUGGGCUUAACCUAGGAAGUGCACUCGAAACUGCCAAGCUUGAGUUCUGGAGAGGAAGGCGGAAUUCUCGGUGUAGAGGUGAAAUUCGUAGAUAUCGAGAGGAACACCGGUGGCGAAGGCGGCCUUCUGGACAGCAACUGACGCUGAGACGCGAAAGCGUGGGGAGCAAACAGG
rnacentral:rRNA from 1 species